rnacentral:rRNA from 1 species
GACGAACGCUGGCGGCGUGGAUUAGGCAUGCAAGUCGAACGGUAUCAUCCUUUCGGGGGUGAGAGAGUGGCGAACUGGUGAGUAACACGUAGGUUAUCUACCCUCAAGACGGGGACAACCCAGGGAAACUUGGGCUAAUACCGGAUGUGAGCAACUUUUAGUUGUUUGAAAGGUGGCGUAAGCUGUCGCUUGGGGAUGAGCCUGCGUCCUAUUAGUUAGUUGGUGAGGUAACGGCUCACCUAGGCAAUGAUAGGUAGGCGGCCUUAACGGGUGGUCGCCCACACUGGGAUUGAGAUACGGCCCAGACUCCUACGGGAGGCAGCAGUCGAGAAUAGUCUACAAUGGUCGGAAGACUGAUAGUGCGACGCCGCGUGAACGAUGAAUCCCUUCGGGGUGUAAAGUUCUUUUAUAUGUGAGCAGUGCUUCUUAUAUUAACAGUAUGGGGAGAGAGAUAUUAGCAUAUGAAUAAGCAACGGCUAACUCCGUGCCAGCAGCCGCGGUAAAAUA